ACCACAUUUAAUUGUGUUUGACCGCCAUGGUCAGGCUACGACAAUGCGUCACUGUUGGCCAGUUACGGAAGAGCUGGUGCGCAAGCGGGCUGAGCACAAUGAAAAGGAGAUCUUCAGCCUGGAGGAGCUGUCGCUGCAUCAGUGUGACGUGGAACGGAUCCAGCAUCUGGACCGGUGGUGUCGACGUCUGCGCAUUCUCUACCUGCAGUCUAACCUUAUUGCCAAGAUAGAGAACGUUGGUCGGCUGAAGCAGCUGGAGUACCUGAACCUGGCCCUCAACAGCGUGGAGCGCGUGGAGAACCUGGAGGGCUGCGAGAGCCUGACCAAGCUGGACCUGACGCUCAACUUCAUCGGAGAGAUUACGUCUCUGGCCAGCCUCCGACACAACGCCGCCCUGCGCGAACUAUUCCUCACGGGCAACCCGUGCGCCGACUACGAGGGCUACCGCGCCUGGGUGGCCGUCGCCCUGCCGCAGCUGGAGGUGCUGGACGGCACGCGGAUCGAGCACUCGGAGCGGAUCCGGGCGCGCCAGGCGUUCGCCCGCAUCCAGGACGACAUCGUCCAACAGCAGAGGCGCUACCUAGAGAAAAGGAAGCAACAAAAAGAAGCUGUACGGGCAACGAAAGAUGCUUCAAAUUUGAAAGAUCUUAGUGAAGAAGAGCGAAAAAAGUUUUGGGCCGAGCGGACGCCGUACACGCCCGAGUCGCGGCUGGAGCUGCACCGCCACCUGGAGGCGUCGCGCGCCGCUCCGCCGCGGGACGAACGGCCCGCCUGGGAGGCGCCGGCCCGCCAGAGCCGCCUGUUCACCGACGACGGCCGGCCGCUCAACGUCAACAGUGCCGGCCUCAGCUUCUGGCUGGAGGAUGACGAGCCGGCCCACCAGCUGCGGCUCCACCUGGACGUGUUCAGACACAUGGAUACGUCUCUGCUGGAGGUGGACGUACAGCCGACGUACGUGUGCGUGCGGGUGCGGCAGCAGCCGUUCCAGCUGGUGCUGUCCGAGGAGGUGAAGCCGGACAGCAGUACUGUGCAGCGCUCCCAGGUCACCGGGCAGCUGCUGGUGACGAUGCCGAAGUUCGCGGAGCGGCCCGCUCUGGGGGUCCGGCGGCCUGGCCCACCUGCGGCUCGGCCACCGAAGCCGUCGGCCGGUCCAGAGCCAAGCCCGGUGCCGGAGGACGAGCAUCCGGAGGUGCCGCCGCUGGUCUGAGGCGACGGCCGGCCACCAGGCGGCGCCCAUCGCAGCCUGGGCCCACCGCUGGCGAUGGCGACCGUCGUUUGACCAUCGAGGGCGACGACAGUCGACGCUUUUGCUGCCAGGCCUCUCCGGCAGUUGAAGGUUGGAUUUAUUCGUCG
rnacentral:misc_RNA from 1 species